AGUGAACGCUGGCGGUAGGCCUAACACAUGCAAGUCGAACGGCAGCACAGUAAGAGCUUGCUCUUACGGGUGGCGAGUGGCGGACGGGUGAGGAAUACAUCGGAAUCUACUUUUUCGUGGGGGAUAACGUAGGGAAACUUACGCUAAUACCGCAUACGACCUACGGGUGAAAGCUGGGGAUCUUCGGACCUUGCGCGAUUGAAUGAGCCGAUGUCGGAUUAGCUAGUUGGCGGGGUAAAGGCCCACCAAGGCGACGAUCCGUAGCUGGUCUGAGGGGAUGAUCAGCCACACUGGAACUGAGACACGGUCCAGACUCCUACGGGAGGCAGCAGUGGGGAAUAUUGGACAAUGGGCGCAAGCCUGAUCCAGCCAUACCGCGUGGGUGAAGAAGGCCUUCGGGUUGUAAAGCCCUUUUGUUGGGAAAGAAAAGCAGCAGGUUAAUACCCCGCUGUUCUGACGGUACCCAAAGAAUAAGCACCGGCUAACUUCGUG
rnacentral:rRNA from 1 species